UGCCAGGCAGGAGGUGAUGCAUACAAUCCGCCCCACAAAGGCCAUGUGGGUGUGUGUGUGUGUGUGUGUGUGUGGGGGUGGGUGUGUAUCCGCGCAGAAUUGUGGAUAGCGGGUUAAGCUUUGUAAGAGGGGAGCGGAUGAAAGAUAGCCAGCUACAGUGUGUGUGUGUGUGUGUGUGUGUGUGUGUGUGUGCGCAGGUUGGACUUUGUAAGGGGGAAGCGGACGGAAGAUGGCCAGCUGCACGGAAACAGAACUAAUCCUUAAACUAGGGAGGACAGCGGUCAUAAAAAGGAUCCUCUUCUGUAUUGUGCAGGGAGACUCUGGUUUUCAACCUCUGGCCUCUAAUAAGUAUGGAAAAAAUUAUGCUCUUCAUUAUUAAAAUGUUCGCUACAUUACCCACAAUGCUGUUCGACUACCUCCUGACUGGGAUUUUGCCCGGUACGUUAUCUUUACAUAAAGAAAGCAGUGGAGCAGCGCUUUCAUCCUUCGGUUUGUCCAGCGCUCUCAACUCGUCAUCUGUACACUACGCCCAAACACAUCAGCUUCCAAAACGUAAACGUUCACGCUAAUACCGCCGUGCCAUCCCAUCGCACUCGUCAUCUUAAAGAUCCAGCUGAGUCGAGUCGUUCCCGUGACUCAGUGCCACGAAUCUGUUUUGCUUUCUGGAACGUCGAGUCCAUCCACUACUUCUACACUCACUGGGUUUCUCAUUAACAUGACAUUGGAUGGCUUUGGAAAAUGAUUGAGGAAAAGAAGCUCUGAGAGCAAAACAUGACCAAUAUAUCCCUGCUGCUAUGUUUGAGAUUGGAUUAUUUAUCCUAUUUACAUCAGAGUAGCACACAACCACUAAGUUUUCACAGGAAUAUUCUCGAAUACAGCACCAAACAAAGUAAUCAGUACCAGAUUCACUAUUCGUAUCACAAAUAGUUCAAUAAAAACCUAUUUAAUGUGUUUCAAAGUAGAGUUUUCCUUUAAAUGCCUCAUUAGUAAGCUCGCUUCAAACCUGAUGCACAUAAAGUAAAAGAUAUUGGACCGCUGAUGAUGAUAGCAGAGGUGGCACCAAAAGUGGCUGAUGUUUUUAAUGAUAUUUAAUCAAAUAUGAGCUACUAAGGAUUGUUAAACUAGAUAUCAUGUGCCCCAACAAAUAUUGCAAGUACAACAUGUAGGAUAUUUGCUUAAAGUACAAAUUAAGCAAAUAUCCUACAAAGGGUCGUGGGGGAAUCUGGAGCCUUUCCCAGGGGGACUAGCAGAGCAGAGACCCUGGAGGAAACCUGAACCCCCCCCCCAACCACGUCAGUCCCGUCCGUAAUUGCCUGAACUGCUGGGUCACCAUCCCAGCAGUUUGAAAAUUGUGAAAUGCCAGCUUGCCCCAGUUCUCCGGUGGUCCCGGGUGAUAAGAUCAUGUUUUGCUUUAGCUCCAUAGCAUGCAACUCGCUAAUCAUCAAAAGCCUUUUUAAUGAUGAAAAGCUCAUAAUUCUUGUUUAUCGGUGUGCUUUCUCAUUGCAAAAGUUGUUAUAUCUGGCAUAGAGGUCUUCUUAAGGUUCUUAAAAAAAAAAAAAAACAUGGUUAUAAACAUUAAUCAUAUCCAUAUGAUUGUUUUUUUUAUUAUUAUUAUAAUACAUCAAUGAGAUCCAAGAGCUGCAAGCCCUGCAAUUUUGCUCUCCUUUUUAUAUCAUACAUUUAUAGCAUGGCUAAACCAAAACGGGGAAAAAGUACAAAGUGCAAUAAGACUAAAGUUCAAGGUGUAACAUUAUCCAUCAUACUCAGACAGGCAGUUAUAUAAAUAACAACCCAAAGUGUUACAUAUUUGCCUCCUCACAUAUUUAUCGAUUGAUAUAGGAAACAUUAAAUAAUGUUUUUUUUUUUUUUUUAGUUUUUUUUUUUUUUAAACUACAAUCGUUGCCAUUCAUCUGUGAUAACUUACUACAAUCAGAAGCAUCUGUUCUCUUCUAUAAGUUCGAAAUGACAAAUUGUCUGUGUGUUCAUACCUCAGUAAUGCAUUCAAGACGGCAAACUACUCUUCCAAAGGAAAAUGAAUGUCCUUCCAAGUAAGGAUGAACAAAACAUACACCAGAAUACACACUGUAAUGAAUACACUUACUCGUUUGGAUGUGGUUAUAGACGAUAAAUUCACUGAACUGUUUUCAGAGUCAUCGGACAGAUUUUGUGCAAAUAGAACUUCUUAUUUCAGUGCACUGCAAAUGAAAAUGAACUUUUUGGACACAUGUGAAAUUGCUAAUGAAUUGCCAGAGCUUGGUGUGUCAGUGCUCAAAGGAUUUGUCCCAAACGCUGCCCUGGAUGGAAUCGCUGAAGGAACAGCACAAAAACAUCUUAGCACAGCGCUACAAACUCCAGAGAUGGAAUCUGUGACUUGUUAAGAGAAAAUUACAUUUCACUGAUUUCUUCAUUCGUCAUGACGGUUAUUAUAUAAGAGCUCGUGAUCUACCGAACAGGAGCCAAUCGGAUUUUCAAGAGUCACCACAGCAAUUAAUCAAGUCCAAAAAAAAAAAAAGACUGCUUCAGGGUGUUCUCCCUGGGGUUUUUUUUCUCUCUCUCUCUCUCUCUCAGACGUCUAGUUUUCUUUAACCUCCCUAAAAACACAAUGAGUAUGUAAUCGUACAUGCAUGUGCAUGCUCUGCAAUGUACCUGCAUCCCAUCCAGGGUGUACGCUGUCCUCGCACUCAGUUUCCCCGAAUCCACUGCAAGUGAACGAUUGGUUCCUCUGGAAAGACGACUGACAGAAGUCUCUAUUUCUCUACAAACUCUCAACUCCAGUUUGUAUCCAUAUAUUAAAUCUUAACAUUUUGGAUACAUAUAAAACGCACCUACUUUAUACUUCACCGUAUAGAUCAGAUAGUAAAGGACAUUAAAAUUGUGGCUGCGAAAGUAAAAACAAUCUUACCGGUCCAUUGGUCUGGGAAUACGCGCUGGAUGGGAUUUCAGUCCAUCACGGGGCUAAACACCAUGCAUAAAGACAUUUACACACUCAUUCACACCUAGGGGUAAUUUAGCAUAGCCAAUCCACCAGCAUGCAUGUUUUUGGGAGGGAGGGGAUAACCGGAGAACCCUAAACAAACCCACGCAGACAUGGGGAGAACAUGCAAAGCUCCACAGAGAUAGUAAGCCGAGGUCAGGAUCGAACUGGGGAACCUGCAGUCUUUGAGGCUGGCUCCAGAUUCUUUGAACUUGGCUCCAGCUUCAUAACUUUCAGUCCUCUCUGAAACUACUGGGACGGCAAGGCCAAUUCAUUUGUUUGUGCUAAACACCAAAGACAUUUGGGUUUGGGUUUGAGAUCAAAAGAUGGAUUAUUACCCCCCCACACACACACGCCCGAUAAAGUCCUUUAUUGAAUUGGUAGUGUGUUUUGGAUCAUUGCCUUACUGCAUGAUCAAGUUCCACUUCUCUGUAAAUUAGCAGACGAAAUAAUCCUGUAAACAUCUGAAUUCAUUCUGCUGCUACCAUCAUGAGUUACAUCAUCGAUAAAGAUUUGUGAGUCAGGUCUAGAAGCGGCCACGCGAGCCCAAGCCAUGACGCUACCUCCACCAUGUUUCACAGACGAGCUUGUAUGUUUUGGAUCAUGAGCAGAUCCUUUCCUUCUAAACACUCUGGCCGUUCUAUCACUUUGCUAAAGGUCAAUCUUGGUUCCAGAACUUUUGCCCAGACUGUACUUUCCUGCUCAUAUAUCAUAAGUAUAUCAGCUGCUGCUCUAUAUUCUUUCUCUCUGAGUGCCUACAAGCGCGGGUGCUAUUACCUCAUGACAGAAAUACAGUGCGAAAUGAAAUGCAGGCACUUAUCAUUUUGCUCUGAGAUGCUUCGACUUUCUAGUAUUUAUUACCCAGUAAGUGCUGAAACCUUAACGCAUCACUAUAUACAGAUUUAGCCUCAGGACAUACUUUACGCCUUAGCAGGCUGUCGAUGUGUAAAGGUCUCAGUGUGAACCCGAUAAGACAUGGAUGAAUCUGCAACAGACAUCAUGAUUUUUUAAGUAAGAGUAAGGCCUAAGAGUAGAAUCUUAGAAAAGUAUUCAUUCACUAAUUCAAAACUAUUCGCGAAUCAUGCGGUAGCAGCAUGAUACAUAAAAACAUGCAGAUAUAGGUCAAAAGCUUCAAUAAACUUUUACACCAAACAUCAGAAUUGGAGAUGGGGGAGGGAUUGUGAUCUCAGCGACUUUGUCCAUGAUAUGUUUGUUGGUGCCAGAGAGGCUGGUUAUAAUAUUUAAGAAACAUAUGAUCUUCUGGGAUUUUCUUGCAUGACGACGUAUGUUUUUUUUUCCUAAAAUAUGACUGGCACUGUAAGAACAAAUGAGCCACAGCAAGGGGGCUUGUUUAGCAGCGCCCGCACAAUUCCAGUAAUUUACAAGUGACUUCUGGAGAAUUGUCUGCACUCUUAUUUAAAAAAUAAAAUAAUCAACAACAAAAAAUGUCAGGAACGAUACGCUAGGUCUGUUCCAGCCACGUUUCAGUGGUGAGAGAAUCCUGUUUUGGCUCUGGCUCAUCUUGAAGAGAAAAUAAUUGUCAUCAGCUAUUCAACACCAGAUGGCUGACUUGUCCUUUAUAAUCAUAAUGCCGAUCAAACUGAGAAGGCAGAUGUUGUGCAGAACAUUUUCUGUUGUCAGAAAACAUUGAUAAACAAUACCAAGACUCUUACGUCAUUCAUGUAAAUAAUCAAUAGAUUGUUAGACUCAUAGCCCCAACGGGAUUACACAUCUCCUCUCAACAUUUUCCAGGAGAAGAUCCUGAUUCAGAUAGAAGCAAAAUUUGUUACUCUUGUCGUGCCGAGGCAUACUGUGGAAAUUCGAUUCUUACCAACGGAUCAGAUUCUCACUGUGGAAACCAGAUGCUUACCAACAUACGACGUGAAGAUAUGCUGAUGCUGUGUUUUCAUGCCUGGAGCUUGUAAAACGGGUUCAAUGGCGUACCGAGGCAUCGGGCGUUUCCCGAUUUUCCCAUUUCACACAGUAUUGUUUAAUUAAUAAGUGUAAGCCUUGUUAACUAAAGAUUCAUGUGAAAUUGUCUGUAAACCUGACGAAUUUGUUAUGAAAAUGCUAAUGCACAAAUGAAUGCAUUUGUUGUUGCAGUGGUGGCUCAAGUCCUUAACUUGGCUCUACAGGUGUCAUAUCAUGGAAUACCAUGCACUCUGACCCCGGCUUCCUAACAAGCUAGGAUGUGUGAUUCACUGUGCUUGUAAUUAGAUAUGUAAUAUAAGAAGGCUACGAUAAAAGGAAAGCUAUGGUAACCCAAAUAAGCACUCUUUACAACCAUGGUGAACAGAAAAGCAUCUCAGAACAUACAACACUUCGAACCUUGAGAUAGAUGGGCUACAACAGUUGAAGACCACCUUGGGUUCCGCUCCUGUCAGCCAAGAACAGGGAUCUGAGGAUUCAGUAGGCGCAGUUUCACCCAAACUGGAGAGCUGAUGACUGGGAACAGAUCAGACAACUUUAUAAAAAAAAUAAAUAAAUAAAUAAAUAAAUAAACCAACUUGUUCAGUUUUCAACCAGCAAUAUCCAGAUUACUCAAAUGUAUAUGAUAACAGCAUACUAUGAUAUUCCGUGUCUCGAAAGAAAUCUGGUAAGUCUCAGUGUUUAAGUCUAAGCUUAAAACGUAUUUGUUUACUCAAGCCUACCCUGACUAGAUUCUGUUCUACUACUUCGCAGUCAUAAUGAUCUUUUUUCUCCCUCUCUCCUUUUGCUGAGCCCCCCACGAAUUUAUGGAGAUACUAGAGAUCCAGAUCCUUUCUGCCUCUGGAUGGAGCUCAAAUCUUCUCUAAUUCCAGACUGCUGGGACUACGGCUGCUCCUAACGCCAUACAGACUUCAUAUGAAUCCAUAAUGAACUUUUUCACACUAACUGUUGUUACCCAGAUGAGGAUGGGUUCCCUUCUGAGUCGGGUUCCUCUCAAGGUUUCUUCCUCUUAAAACAUCUUAGGGAGUUUUUCCUCGCCACCGUCGCCACUCAGUGGCUCGCUCAGUUGGGAUAAAUUCGCACCUUUAAUAUCUGUAUACCGUGUUGAUAUUUCUGUAAAGCUGCUUUGAGACAAUGUCUACUGUAAAAAGCGCUGUACAAAUAAAAUUGAAUUGAA